AGGUGAAAAUCUGGAAAAGCAAGAGACAGCAAAAGACUUACUGUCCAGGAGAAACUUUUGUGAUCUUUACAGAGAAAGGAAAUGUGCUUCCCAAUAGUGAGAAGAUAUUAAGAGGCCGUCCAUAAAGCUGGCGGCUUUGUUUUCCGUCUGUGAUCAAUGUACCAAGAUUGUAGUCACACCGUCCCAGUCCUUGUGCCACAGAUGUCAUGGUCCGACUGUAAUCCCAUUUCUGAAAGAGGAUUUCUCACCCAUCAAAUUACUGUUCCCCAGCACGCUUUCAUCUCUGAAUGCAUCCAGUCAGAAAGAUAUCUCUGACCUGCUGAUAGAAUAUUGUGGCCUCUUCACUGUAGGAAGUUAUGCAUUUAGAUAGAGAACAUAUCUUCUGGAAAUACGACUGCAAUCACGGUGAAGUAAAUAUUUUGUUCCACUUUGCAUGAAACAGGAUUCAGGUGAAGAGGACCUUUCAGAUGACAUUUUCAAAUGAUUGUUGCUCAUCUACAUCUUUUAUUCUUGAGCUUGGGAAAGGCGCUUUAUAAAUAAAACAUUAUUAUUAUGAUAA